rnacentral:rRNA from 1 species
GACGAACGCUGGCGGCGUGCUUAACACAUGCAAGUCGAACGGAAAGGCCCUGCUGUUGUGGGGUGCUCGAGUGGCGAACGGGUGAGUAACACGUGAGUAACCUGCCCUUGACUUUGGGAUAACUUCAGGAAACUGGGGCUAAUACCGGAUAGGAGCCCCUGCUGCAUGGUGGGGGUUGGAAAGUUUCGGCGGUUGGGGAUGGACUCGCGGCUUAUCAGCUUGUUGGUGGGGUAGUGGCUUACCAAGGCUUUGACGGGUAGCCGGCCUGAGAGGGUGACCGGCCACAUUGGGACUGAGAUACGGCCCAGACUCCUACGGGAGGCAGCAGUGGGGAAUAUUGCACAAUGGGCGGAAGCCUGAUGCAGCAACGCCGCGUGCGGGAUGACGGCCUUCGGGUUGUAAACCGCUUUCGCCUGUGACGAAGCGUGAGUGACGGUAAUGGGUAAAGAAGCACCGGCUAACUACGUG